AGGACUAACGCUGGCGGCGUGCCUAACACAUGCAAGUCGAACGAGGUAGCAAUACCUAGUGGCAGACGGGUGAGUAACGCGUGGUCAACCUACCUCUUAGUGGGGGAUAAUUAGCCGAAAGGUUAGCUAAUACCGCAUACGAUCGUCGCGAGGCAUCUCGUGACGAUGAAAGGAGCAAUUCGCUAAGAGAGGGGACUGCGUCCCAUUAGUUAGUUGGUGGGGUAAUGGCCCACCAAGACUCCGAUGGGUAGCUGGCUUGAGAGAGCGACCAGCCACACUGGAACUGAGACACGGUCCAGACUCCUACGGGAGGCAGCAGUGAGGAAUUUUCCGCAAUGGGCGCAAGCCUGACGGAGCGACGCCGCGUGUGGGAAGAGGCCUUCGGGUCGUAACCACUGUCGAAGGGGACGAUAUUGACGGUACCCUUGGAGGAAGCCCCGGCUAACUACCGUGCCAGCAGCCGC
rnacentral:rRNA from 1 species